GAUCCAACUGCCUCCCUGGGGCUCUGUCAACCAGAGCUUUGGGUACACUGGGCUGAAAUCAAAGCUCCACAUCAAGUUGCCACGAAACAUUUCUGUACCCAGAAGAGUGCACUGGUGUAUGGUGGCCUGUUUGAGAAAGGGAAGUCAUUAGUGGGGGUUACAACUGAGUAUUAAAGGAGUGUAGGUGGAUCCAGUAUAGAGAGGUUCAGUCAAGGAAUCAGGAAGGGAGCAAAAAGGACGAUGGUGUAACUGUGAUUAAAGAACCCCUCUUUCAUCAUUAGGACUAGUCAACAUUAGAUGAGGAGGUGUGUUCUCGUGCCUGGACCACAGACCGGGUGAGGACCUGCAUUCUCAUGGCUGAACCAUGGGCCAGCAGGUUGGAUCUUGGUGGAGUCAGUUUUUCCAGAGUUCACUGGGGUGUUGUUUUCUCAUUUGGACUCCUUCCUGGUUUUGGCAGAUGAUGCUGUGUAUGUGCUGAGUUUUACAGCUUGAAUGGUACUUCCAUUAUGGAGUCUGGGAGCUUACUAAGAUGUGGGGUCCUAUUACACAGUGAUCUCUCAAGUCACAUGUUUCAGUAACAUGAAGAUAACAGAAGUAAAACUGGUACCAGGAGUGAACUCAUUACUCUCCAAAGGUUGGAUGAAUUGUUAGAAUUGCCUAACAGGAAAAUUUGGAAGAAAGUGCUAAAGAAGGCUUACAAUGCUGUAAGAUGAGCAUUAUGGAUAAUUUUUGGGAAGAAUCAGAAGAAUUUGGUUACACUCUGUGAACUUUGGAACUUUGAUGAAAGCUGACCUUAGAGACGAUGGGCUAAUCAGUUCUUAUGUUGAUCCAUCUGGAGUUCAAUUUUGUGCAGGGUGGGCUAUAACGAUCUAGUUUCAUUAUGCUAUAGUAGGUAUCCAGUUUGACCACCAUCAUUUGUAGAAAGGUUCUGACUUUUCUCCCAUGUAUAUUGUUGGCGUAUGGACUUAUUUCUGCAUCCUCACUUCUGUUCCAUUGGUUAAUAUGUCUGUUUUAAUGCCAGUACCACAUUGCUCUUAUUACUAUAGCUCUGGCCAAGAACAUGAAAUCUACAAGGGUGGUAAUUCCCACAGUGUUUUUAUUGGUCAAGAUAGUUUUGACUAUCCUGGGUCUUUGGAUUUCCAUAUAAAAUUUGAUUAGUUUUUCAAUGUGUGUAAAGAUAGGAAUUUUGAUGCAUUACAAUGAAUCUGUAGAUGCCUUUAGUGAAAUGACUAUUUUCUCAUUAUUAAUCCCACCAAUCCACGAACAUGAGAUGUCUUUCCAUGUUCUGGUAUCUUCUUCUGUUUCUCUUCAGCGUAUUAAGUGCUCAUCCUUGGUUAGAUUAAUUCCAAGAUAUUUUUGAGACUAAGAUUGUAAGAGUCAGAGGUGAUGGAUGACUAAAAAAAUAAACAGUUUCCUAGACACAGCAUGUCAGUUUCACAUCUGAAUUCAAAUAAGUUAAGAUAGCAUCUUGAGACUUGUGCAAGCUCAAGCCAGACAAAAUCCCACCGUGAAAAAGGGAGGUGAACAUGAACUCCCAGCCCUAGCUGAGAAGUUAUUGGCUAUUGAUAAGAAUCAAAGAGCAAGAAUCAGUUUUCCUUAAGGGUGUGACCUCUGGAGGGCUGGCUACACUCCAGGGUAUAUGUGUAUACACAAAGUUAAGUAGGUAGGGAAGGGCGUUGAGCCUGGGAGGAGUAGGAGAAGGGAGUGAAUAUGAUUUUUUAAAACUGUAAUAAAUUCUUUAAAAAUAACAAGAAAAAAUAAUGCUUAUUCUUUGUGGAGAUCUCAAAAUAUUUGCUGGGUUUGUUCAUGUAUAUGCUCCCUCACCAAACUGAGCCAAUGCAGGAUCACCUUUGAACUUCUAAGCCUGGAAGCUAAACAACGUUUUUCUCUUAAGUUACUUGCCUUGGGCAUUUCAUUAUAUCAUUGCAAAACUGACCAGUGUAGAAUGUUAUAAAAUCUUUAGACUUAUCUAGUGUAUCUGCAAUGUUUUAUGUGUAUUUGUUAAAAUAACAGUCAUGUUGAUAAGCUUUGUACAUAACAAAUACCUAAGAUGUACCAUCUCAUAAGCAGAGGUUUAUUUUGGGCUAGCUAUAGACAUGUGGCCAUGUGGCCAUGUGGCCAUGUGGCCAUGUGGCCAUGUGGCCAUGUGGCCAUGUUGCUCUGGGACCUGUGUAAGACAGGAGAACACUCAGGGAGAAUGUUUCAGGAGCUUCCUAUUUCAUGAUAGCAAGGGAAAAAAGAGAGAGGAAGGUGCCUGCAUGCCAAAAACCCCUCCAAAGGAACACGCCCAGAGACCUAACUUCCUCCCAUGGACCCAUCUCUUAAUGGUUCCACAAUUUCUCAGUGGUGCUACAGGCCUAGGACCAAGCCAUCAACAAGUACAACUCCGGAAGAUUCAGAAUCAAAACUAUGGCAGAAAUGAUGUUUUUAUUUAACUAUUCUUUAUCAACAAAAACUCGGGAGUCAGAUAUCAGGGUAAGAAGCUGAAUGAUCACAGAGGUGGUGGUGAAGUGGCCAGUAAGCUCCUAUCUCUUUCACUCCUCUAUCUAAAAGGGGCUGAGAUCCUCUCUAAGCCCUGCCUUACUACUUCCUGUGUCUAUCUAUUCUCAGUCCUCCAAAAUCUCUAUGGUUAAUUUUGGUCAGCUAGUAGCUAGCUCUGCCCUCUGAUUCAAAACAAACUUUAUUGUCAUUCUUGGGAGUGUCAGAGUGUAAUCAAAAUGUCACACGACAAAGCAACAGUGGUGCAUGUGCACUGACUGCAUUAAUGAGCAGUGUAAUUACAGGUGACCUUCUCUUGUGUGAAUCUCUUCUAGCUUUCAAGGAUAUACUUUGACAACAAAUAAAUAUAACACCAAACAAAGGAAGAAAUAAUAAAGACAAUUUAUAUGAAUUUAUUAGCAAGUUCUUGGUUUGGGAAACACUACAGAAGAUGUUCUUGCCAAAGAAUAUAUUGGUUUUCAUCAAAUUCAGACCUGCUUCACACAAGCAAUGAUGUCAUCUCAAACACAGUACCAUCAGUUUCAUAGCAUCGUCCAUCCCCCAAAGCUA